CCUCUAGUGAAGGCACCAACUCCACCACCACAACCACCCGUGAAGGCACCUUCUCCUCCCAUAGUGAAAUCACCACCUUACUUUCCACCACCAGUGAAGGCACCUUCUCCCCCCAUAGUGAAAUCACCACCAGUGAAGGCACCAACUCCUCCCAUAGUGAAAUCACCUCCUUCCUAUCCACCACCAGUGAAGGCACCUUCUCCUCCCAUAGUGAAAUCACCACCAGUGAAGGCACCAACUCCUCCCCAAGUGAAAACACCUCCUCCUCAUCCUCCUGUAGUGAAGCCCCCUGUUGCUCCAAUUCCAUCAACUCCCAUAGUCAAAUCAAUGAAGGGUAAGUGAGUUACUAAAUCAUGUCUAUGAAAACUCUCUUCUUCAAUCUCUGUUGUAAUUCAUUGACCAAAAGAAAAAAAAAAAAAUCUCUGUUGUAAUUAAUAAUGAUUCACAUUUUCACAUUUUUUUUUUGUAUAAUUUGUGCAUAAUGUUUAUAAAGCAAACUUACACUCAAUAAUAUCCCACAAAAUUUAGUGUUUUUUUUCUCGAGCACAACGGCCUCGGAGGAUCCAUAUAGCCGAUUUCACUAAGAUAAGAAUUUUGUUGCUAUACAUAAUGUUCAGGAUUGAUUCUUGAUUAAUUCUUAAUGUUUGCUUAAUUUUAAGUGUUACUAGAAUCUGAUGAGCUAAUUGACACUCUUGAUUUUAUUUUUAUGGGCAGAU
rnacentral:lncRNA from 1 species